CCUACGGGAGGCAGCAGUGGGGAAUAUUGCACAAUGGGGGAAACCCUGAUGCAGCGACGCCGCGUGAGUGCAGAAGUAUUUCGGUAUGUACAGCUCUAUCAGCAGGGAAGAAGCAAGCCGGUACCUGACUAAGAAGCCCCGGCUAACUACGUGCCAGCAGCCGCGGUAAUACGGAGGGGGCAAGCGUUAGCCGGAUUUCCUGGGUGUAAAGGGAGCGUAGACGGUAUGGCAAGUCUGAAGUGAAAGCCCAGGGCUUAACCCUGGGGCUGCUUUGGAAACUGUUAGACCAGAGUGCUGUAGGGGUAAGUGGAAUUCCGAGUGUAGCGGUGAAAUGCGUAGAUAUUAGGAGGAACACCAGUGGCGAAGGCGGCUUACUGGACAGUAACUGACGUUGAGGCUCGAAAGCGUGGGGAGCAAACAGGAUUAGAUACCCGUGUAGUC
rnacentral:rRNA from 1 species